rnacentral:lncRNA from 1 species
UUUUGCUCAAAAAGUACAAUGUCCGAAAUGCAGCUUCCUAGAAUCUGGAUGACGGAUCCUAUUGCAAAAGCAUCAUGGAUUAAAGAGUGGACAAGUUGACGGGAUUAUCCGGCCAAGUGAAAGUACUAGCAGAUGCAUAACCUACAAGACUAGAUCCAAACCAUUAGCAAGUUUUAUUACGGAAUUAUAUCCAUAAAUCUAAUAGCACUACUCGUGGAUAUUGGUUUGUUACAAGCAAGAAUUGAUGAUGUACAAGAUAAUCCAUAAAUCCUAAUAACAUCACAAUUGGUUUGGAGAGUUUCUUAUUUUAAAUUAGUAUCAACACACAACAAAUCGAGAUGCAAAUACGUGAUUGAGCAUGGUCAAAUGACUCGAUAACAUAACUCAAGUCGCUACACAUUACCAACAAAAGUGGCCCGAUGAAGACGAAGGUUGAACAUAGCAAGUUGUGCCGGUUGUAAAACAGAAACCUGCAGCGUAACGAUCACGGAGAGGAUAUUUCGAAAAGUUUAGGAUGCUACCACAACCUGUGAAGGGUUGGACCUGCAAAUCAUCAAAACCUACGGUUCAUUAACUAUCAUCACUACCUGAAGUGUUAAACAAAAACUAAGAGGCAUGAUACAAAUCCAGCCAUUCAGAUGCUAAAUCCCCACACCAAUUCUAUCAUCAAGGCGUAGAGGGGAAAAAUCUGGCACAUCAAACAUUGCACGAUUCGACCACACUCAUAUCUAUAUCUACAAAAUGUUCUCCACGGCAAGACUAUAACAACUGUGGCACCUCAGGUCGUAUGAUUGUCGCAAGAGUGUGUCACAUCCAAGGUCCUACAAAAGCAAAUAAGUUCGAUUAACAAGCAACCAACACAAUCCAGAAAAUUACUAUUGACUACCCUUCAUCACAAACGAAUGACAACCAAAUCGUUAUGUACUCAUAUCCCUAAGCUGCAAGGAUCACUGCAUUAAUGCAGGAUAAACUGUUAAGUCAUCUUAUCAGUAAAAGCCAAAAUAACUUAGACUAAGAGUUGAAAUAUAUGUAACUGUAAAAAAAUCAAACUUCUACCACAACAAACGCACAUUUACUGCAGUAAAACCUUAAUAAAGGAGUCAACAAAAAUAAGCCACAUCUUUGGAGGAUUAUGCUACAGACAAAAUAGAUUGGCUCUAAACAAAAAAACAAAUCAAAGGUUUGUGAUCGGUCCCCAAAAAAAAUCUGAGGGAAAAAUUCUCUCUAACGGAUUGAUCCUAUCCAAGAUUUUCCAAAUCAUGAAAGAUAAAGACGGAAGAGCCUCGUACAAAGACUCUAUAUAAAGACCAUUUGAUCAUUGAAGCGGGGAUCCUUUCGCCAAGCAUCGUUACCUUGCCGAAAUCUCGUACCGACCCAUACCCAAAGCUCAAAAUACAAAAGGUGACUCAGAGUUUAUCCCUAAAACUCUGAGUAAGCCAAGCUAAGCCAUUACUAAACCAAGGCACGCACCAGAUCGGUAAAGAGGAACAGAAACGGAGAGGAUUCGAAGUACACAAAGCAAAGAGGAUCACUUACCAGGUAUACUCGCGGCCAAUGGAUAUGCGUCAAUAGUUGUGCGAAUCAUCUUCUCUGUUUGUUUCAAACGUCAUAGCAUUUGCAUAGAUUUGUUGCUUCUGUUUUGAUUUGUCAAUUUCUUGGUUAUUGGUGGUGGAUAUAAAAAGUGGCAUUAGAAGCUUUUAUACCUUGGUUACCUGAACCUCACAUCCGUUACGGCGAGAAUAGGGUGCGGAGGAAUCGGAUCGGGAUUUAGAAAUAGGAUAGGCUGGCAUUCGAUGUUGUUUUGGGAAUUAGGUAGUUGAAUUUUUGUGAAUCGAAGGUUGCGUAAGGGUGAACACCGAAGAGUGGGGUUCAUCGCCUUCUUUCUUCUUUUUGCUUUCUUAUUUUUUUUAGCUUAAAAGUUCAGGGUGUGUGUUUAAGGUGGAAGGAAGGAUCCGUUACAAUGCAUAUGUUGAUUUAAGUAGAGUUUUUUUUAUUCCCCAUAAAGUCCAUUAAAUUUGGUUAUUGGAUUUAUAAGACCUGGGUUGGACAAAGCAUGUACAGUUUAUCUUUUCAAAGUUUAGCUUUAUUGGCAUUAACGUUGUUUUAAUGGCCAACAGUGGAGAAUCCAAAAAGGGUCAUGUGAUCCUUUCUGAUGUUCCAUUGUAUGACUUUCCCUUGCCUUGCCACGUG